rnacentral:rRNA from 1 species
GAUGAACGCUGGCGGCGUGCCUAAUACAUGCAAGUCGAGCGAACAGACGAGGAGCUUGCUCCUCUGACGUUAGCGGCGGACGGGUGAGUAACACGUGGAUAACCUACCUAUAAGACUGGGAUAACUUCGGGAAACCGGAGCUAAUACCGGAUACUAUAUUGAACCGCAUGGUUCAAUAGUGAAAGACGGUUUUGCUGUCACUUAUAGAUGGAUCCGCGCCGCAUUAGCUAGUUGGUAAGGUAACGGCUUACCAAGGCAACGAUGCGUAGCCGACCUGAGAGGGUGAUGCGCCACACUGGAACUGAGACACGGUCCAGACUCCUACGGGAGGCAGCAGUAGGGAAUCUUCCGCAAUGGGCGAAAGCCUGACGGAGCAACGCCGGGUGAGUGAUGAAGGUCUUCGGAUCGUAAAACUCUGUUAGGAGGGAAGAACAAAUGUGUAAGUAACGAUGCACGUCGUGACGGUACCUAAUCAGAAAGCCACGGCUAACUACGUG